rnacentral:tRNA from 1 species
GGGGUUGAGAAUAAGUAUAUAUUAUUAUUCAUAUAAAUAUAGGUAUAUUUUACUAAUUCCC